AACAAGGAUUUUACAUCAUCGCAGAACGCUACAGAGAGAACCUACAAACAAAGUCUAAAAUGAAGUUUUUGGUUUUAUUGGCUUGUUUUUUGCUCGUACUUCAUCAGACGGAUGCUUUCAUAGGAGGUGUAAGAGCAGGACGCUCACCAACUAAAAGAUCACCAUUACCACAGGCAAGAAACGACCCGAACAGUUAUCUUGAUGAUGAGAAAAGGUUUCUGUUAAAGUCACGAUACCCUAAUGAAGUUGAAGAAAUAGUCUAGCGUGAAAUAUGAAACUUCGACGCCUUACUUAAUUGACAACGAAUCUAGAAAUAUUGCAUAAAUAAGACACUAAUAAACUCAGUUCAUUUUUUUC